rnacentral:piRNA from 1 species
UGAGGUUCCCACCAUACUCUGCACUGC